AUGAUUUCUUCAGGCAAUGGUAAAGUUGCAGGGAAGCUUUCUGGUCGUAUUGUUGAUGCAGAUAUGCAUGACGUUGCUCGCUUCCUUAACCGCCUUCUGGGAUUGGCUCCUGACAUCCAGAAUAGGUUGUUUGAUCUCUUUAUAAGCAUACUUGAUGUUGUCCUUCACAAUGCACGAAGAGAAGGGCAGCUGGAUUCUGGAAUUGUUGAUAUUAAGGGUAAGAAUAUUGAAUUGAAAGAGCCACCAAAGACCGUUCAUGUUGAUAGCUUGUCUGGUGCUACAACAAUACUGUUUACUUUCACCAUUGAUAGGGGAGUUACCUGGGAGUCGGCAAAGGCAAUGCUUGAUGGAAGAGAGAAUGAUGGUGCUGGUUCUUCCAAUGAUGGGUUUUAUGAGUCCAAAAGGGAAUGGAUGGGGAGAAGACACUUCACUCUAGCUCUUGAAGGGUAUGUUGUGUUGAAUGAUGAAGAUAUAUAUUUUUCUUCUUCGAGAAAACGCAAAGACUUUGAAUUGUUUGGCUAUUUUAAUGAGCUACAGUAUAUAUUUGCAUUGUUUAAGAAGUAUAAACCCCCCUUCCAUUGA
rnacentral:rRNA from 1 species